GACGAACGCUGGCGGCGUGCUUAACACAUGCAAGUCGAACGGAAAGGCCCUGCUUUUGUGGGGUGCUCGAGUGGCGAACGGGUGAGUAACACGUGAGUAACCUGCCCUUGACUUUGGGAUAACUUCAGGAAACUGGGGCUAAUACCGGAUAGGAGCUCCUGCUGCAUGGUGGGGGUUGGAAAGUUUCGGCGGUUGGGGAUGGACUCGCGGCUUAUCAGCUUGUUGGUGGGGUAGUGGCUUACCAAGGCUUUGACGGGUAGCCGGCCUGAGAGGGUGACCGGGGAGAGUGGGAAAAAGGAAGGGAGAAGAGGGGGAGGGGAGGAAGGAGGGGGGAAGAUGGAGAAGUGGGGGGGAGCAGGAGGGAGAGAGGGCGGGUGGGGGAUGAGGGCCUUGGGGGGGUAAAAAGGGGGCGGCAGGGAAGAAGCGGGAGGGAAGGGAGGGGAAAAAGAAGAAACGGCGAAAUACGUG
rnacentral:rRNA from 1 species